ACCCUGGUGGUCCAAUGGUUAGGACUUGGUGCUUUCACUGUUGAGGGUCCAGGUUCAAUCCCUGCUCAGGGAA
rnacentral:tRNA from 1 species